ACACAGGUCAGAGCUAAAUGUGGCUCUGUCUGGUCAAGAAAAUAUUCCACCAAAGAGAGAGGAGGCAUGGAGUCGGAAGGGGAACAAGAGAAUAUCGAAGAUUACAUUAAAUGAGAAUUCAACUGCGAACUCACAUGGAAGUACAGAACUUACCCAGAAAAUAAUAUGUAGAACACCAUGAUGAUCAGUGAGAAGAUAUAAUAAAAAGUUUGCAGAUGCAGAUAUUUCCUGAGAAAACCCCAAUUUAUAACAUUUAACAUCAAGUUCCUAUGAAUGUACGCAAGAGGGAAGAGAUAUGGGAACAUAUGUAUAUGUAUAACUGAUUCACUUUGUUAUAAAGCAGAAACUAACACACCAUUGUAAAGCAAUUAUACUCCA